AUUGAACGCUGGCGGCAGGCUUAACACAUGCAAGUCGAGCGGGGUGAUGGUGCUUGCACUAUCACUUAGCGGCGGACGGGUGAGUAAUGCUUAGGAAUCUGCCUAUUAGUGGGGGACAACAUCUCGAAAGGGAUGCUAAUACCGCAUACGUCCUACGGGGGAAAGCAGGGGAUCUUCGGACCUUGCGCUAAUAGAUGAGCCUAAGUCGGAUUAGCUAGUUGGUGGGGUAAAGGCCUACCAAGGCGACGAUCUGUAGCGGGUCUGAGAGGAUGAUCCGCCACACUGGGACUGAGACACGGCCCAGACUCCUACGGGAGGCAGCAGUGGGGAAUAUUGGACAAUGGGCGGAAGCCUGAUCCAGCCAUGCCGCGUGUGUGAAGAAGGCCUUUUGGUUGUAAAGCACUUUAAGCGAGGAGGAGGCUACUUAGAUUAAUACUCUGGGAUAGUGGACGUUACUCGCAGAAUAAGCACCGGCUAACUCUGUGCCAGCCGCCGCCGUAA
rnacentral:rRNA from 1 species